rnacentral:rRNA from 1 species
UUCUUCGGAUGUAAGGUUUUGUGACUGAGUGGCGGACGGGUGAGUAACGCGGUGGGUAACCUGCCUCAUACAGGGGGGAUAACAGUUAGAAAUGACUGCUAAUACCGCAUAAGCCCACGGCUCGGCAUCGAGCAGAGGGAAAGGAGCAAUCCGCUUUGAGAUGGCCUCGCGUCCGAUUAGCUAGUUGGUGAGGUAACGGCCCACCAAGGCGACGAUUGGUAGCCGGACUGAGAGGUUGAACGGCCACAUUGGGACUGAGACACGGCCCAGACUCC